GCCGCUGGUGCGCGGAGCGGUUCACCGUCUUCGGAGCGGUUCGGCCCAGCCUUCUGCCCAGGCGCCCAGGCCCGGUGCGCGCGUGCGUGAGCGCGCCUGCGCCGCCGGGGCCGCUGCAAGGGGAGGAGAGCGGCAGCCUCAGGAGGAUCCCUUUUCCCCCAGAAAUUACUCAAUGCUGAAACCUCUCAAAGUGGUAUUAAAGACGCUGAAAGCACCAUGGAUGGGUUUUAUGAUCAGCAAGUCCCUUUUAUGGUCCCAGGGAAAUCUCGAUCUGAGGAAUGUAGAGGGCGGCCUGUGAUUGACAGAAAGAGGAAGUUUUUGGACACAGAUCUGGCUCACGAUUCUGAAGAGCUGUUUCAGGAUCUCAGUCAACUUCAAGAGGCUUGGUUAGCUGAAGCACAAGUUCCUGAUGAUGAACAGUUUGUCCCAGAUUUUCAGUCUGAUAACUGAAAAAUGUCCUGUUUCCCCUUAUCCUGAUUGCGUGAUCCACUGUGCGCAGCCCUUCAUGAUAAAAUCCACUGUGGUUGAUGUAAGGUCACAGUAGAGGAAGCCGCCCUGUCAUCUCCAAUGAGUUGGGAGAACAAGGGUUUCCUUAGACCUCUUUCUCAAUCUUGAAAAUAAAACCAAUAGUUGUCUAUCAUA
rnacentral:sRNA from 1 species